rnacentral:rRNA from 1 species
UACGCAGGGGGCUAGCGUUGCUCGGAAUCACUGGGCGUAAAGGGUGCGUAGGCGGGUCUUUAAGUCAGGGGUGAAAUCCUGGAGCUCAACUCCAGAACUGCCUUUGAUACUGAAGAUCUUGAGUUCGGGAGAGGUGAGUGGAACUGCGAGUGUAGAGGUGAAAUUCGUAGAUAUUCGCAAGAACACCAGUGGCGAAGGCGGCUCACUGGCCCGAUACUGACGCUGAUGCACGAAAGCGUGGGGAGCAAACAGG